CUUCUGCAAUUUUUUCCUUUACAAUCCAAGCAUGAGGAAUUCAAGCAGGAGGUGUGGAUGGUGGAUGUUGGAUUUUCCCACUAACUCUACCAAGCAUGAGGUGUCUUCUUGUGGUUUGACCUUAUCCAUGAAGCUUAAUCCAAGUCGUUAAGGAUUCGGAUGCUACUAUUCGUAAAAGGGCCCUCGAACUUGUGUUUCUUCUUGUGAAUGAAAGCAAUGUAAAGCCUUUGACAAAAGAUCUUAUUGAAUGUCUGGAAGUGAGUGAUCAAGAGUUCAAAGGAGAUCUUACAGCCAAAAUUUGUUCCAUUGUCGAAAAGUUUUCCGCGGAAAAGAUUUGGUACGUUGAUCAGAUGAUUAAGGUUCUCUCUGAGGUAUGCAUGAAAUUGCUAAUCUGGUACAUUUUUCGUGUGAAAAAGUAUAUUUGUAGGCAUCUACACUCACCCACUGAGAUCUCCUACUCAACCUACCCAAAGACAGAUUACCACCCUUUCUCUAUUAAGUGUAAGAUUCCUCCAGAGAUUCCUUCAUCCACUGCACCUUGAAACCCACCAGCAUCAUCAAUCACUAUACAUUCCAACCCUUCUGAACAAACACCACCCUGUGUAUGAGAGUAUAUGCCAUU